GUGGGGAAUAUUGGACAAUGGGCGAAAGCCUGAUCCAGCCAUGCCGCGUGUGUGAAGAAGGUCUUCGGAUUGUAAAGCACUUUAAGUUGGGAGGAAGGGCAGUAAGUUAAUACCUUGCUGUUUUGACGUUACCGACAGAAUAAGCACCGGCUAACUUCGUGCCAGCAGCCGCGGUAAUACGAAGGGUGCAAGCGUUAAUCGGAAUUACUGGGCGUAAAGCGCGCGUAGGUGGUUCGUUAAGUUGGAUGUGAAAGCCCCGGGCUCAACCUGGGAACUGCAGCCAAAACUGGCGAGCUAGAGGACGGUAGAGGGUGGUGGAAUUUCCUGUGUAGCGGUGAAAUGCGUAGAUAUAGGAAGGAACACCAGUGGCGAAGGCGACCACCUGGACUGAUACUGACACUGAGGUGCGAAAGCGUGGGGAGCAAACAGGAUUAGAUACCCCAGUAGUCC
rnacentral:rRNA from 1 species